rnacentral:rRNA from 1 species
GAUGAACGCUGGCGGCGUGCCUAAUACAUGCAAGUCGAGCGAACGGACGAGAAGCUUGCUUUUCUGAUGUUAGCGGCGGACGUGUGAGUAACACGUGGAUAACCUACCUAUAAGACUGGGAUAACUUCGGGAAACCGGAGCUAAUACCGGAUAAUAUUUUGAACCGCAUGGUUCAAAAGUGAAAGACGGUCUUGCUGUCACUUAUAGAUGGAUCCGCGCUGCAUUAGCUAGUUGGUAAGGUAACGGCUUACCAAGGCAACGAUGCAUAGCCGACCUGAGAGGGUGAUCGGCCACACUGGAACUGAGACACGGUCCAGACUCCUACGGGAGGCAGCAGUAGGGAAUCUUCCGCAAUGGGCGAAAGCCUGACGGAGCAACGCCGCGUGAGUGAUGAAGGUCUUCGGAUCGUAAAACUCUGUUAUUAGGGAAGAACAUAUGUGUAAGUAACUGUGCACAUCUUGACGGUACCUAAUCAGAAAGCCACGGCUAACUACGUG